CGACCUGCUUCUGGGUCGGGGUUUCGU
rnacentral:piRNA from 6 species